CUACGGGGGGCAGCAGGCGCGAAACCUUUACAAUGCACGAAAGUGUGAUAAGGGAAUCCUAAGUGCUUUGCUUUUGCAAGGCUUUUUCCAAGAGUAAAUAUCUUGGAGAAUAAGUGGUGGGCAAUACCUGUGCCAGCCGCCGCGGUAAUCCAGGAGCCACAAGUGGCAACCGUUUUUAUUGGGCCUAAAGCGUCCGUAGCGUGUUUAGUAAAUUUUCUGUGAAAUCAUUAGGCUUAACUUAAUGGUGUGCAGAAAAGACUGCUAGACUAGGGACCGGGAGGAGUCAGAGGUAUUUCGAGGGGAGCGGUAAAAUGCUAUAAUCCUCGAAGGACCACCUGUGGCGAAGGCGUCUGACUAGAACGGAUCCGACGGUGAGGGACGAAAGCUAGGGGAGCAAUCCGGAUUAGAUACCCGUGUAGUC
rnacentral:rRNA from 1 species